rnacentral:antisense_RNA from 1 species
AGGAAAUAAUCUUUAAAAAAUACAAACGGAUGACUUAACGUAAAUUUAUUAAGGAUAACAAGAUGCUGUCAGGGAGGUAUUCAGGUCAUUCAGGGAGGAGCAAAAGAGGGCAUUGAGGAAGUUGCUUUGGUGCGUCCGAGUGGACUCGAACCACCGACCCCCACCA